AAAUGUUAAGGGCAAACUUAUCGAAAGAUAGGGACGCAAAGCCACGAGUCUAAGGCACUUUGGUGCUAUGAUAGUCGGGUUGCCAAA
rnacentral:ncRNA from 1 species